rnacentral:lncRNA from 1 species
GGUUGCAACUUGCAAGCAGAUCUCAACUGGUGCGCGCGCACACACACGCACAGAUCUGAGCCACGCGCACAGGCAGUACUGCCCCCUUUCUUCUCCAAGUCCGGCCGGCUGAUCGGUCGUUAUGUAUAUGAACGUGGUGGUGGGGUUCUUUUUAUGGUGAGUGGUUUCGAGCUAGGUGGUGGCGGCCGGCUGGGUUUUCGUUCCGUGGCUAACUGACAGAAGAGAGUGAGCACACAGCGGGCAGACUGCAUCGAUCGAUCUGCAUCCGAGACGGCGCACGUACGAAUGAUGAUGCAGCUGCUGCUGCGUGCUCACUUCUCUCUCUGUCAGUCCUCUAGCUGCUACGGCCUCUCUCCCGGCCUGCCACCACUAUAACUUCACCUUGCCAUGGUGGCCGGCCACUACUCUACUCUACUCUCUCUCUCUUUUUGCUGCAUGCGUUGUUGCAACUCGAAGUUGCAGGCCGGUGAAUGAAUGAACGAACGGGUGGGUCAGCUGACUUUUACUGCGACGGGACAGCAGGGGUUCGCAGGGGAGGGAUAGAGGAAUGCAAAGAUAAGGCCGGCCACCGAUCGAUUUGGGCGGGGUCUCGUCCUUAUCUUGUACGACUGCGGCUGGACGGCCAGCCUCUCGCCGCCCGAGGAGCGGUGGUGCAGUCGGACCCGUUCUUUGGAGCAAGGCCGUGCGUGGUCUCGAUCGGCUUCCCAAGGUCGAGGGAGAGGGGGGGACAUGCCUCGGGCGAAGGAAGGAGGUGCCCGCGCGCGUGAUCUCACCGAUCUCGCUGCUGGCGCGGCUUUCCAAAGCACGCCUGCGUAGGAGUAGUAGCCGAACCUAGCUCGGUGUCCGGCUGCCGCUUCGAGAUCUGUUGAUAACUCGAAGAAAAAUACCCAAGAUCUGGACUUUUACCCCGAGUCCCCGACCCUUCCCUGUCUUGCUGGCUGUUUCUUUUCAUCACCCUCAGUGGUGCCAUCAUCUCAUGUGCUGGAGGUAGGUUUUUGGGCGGGAGCCAUGGUGGUGCCGCCUUCUGCAGGAGGUAGAUCUGCCUGUCCGGAAGAGGAAAGGAGAAUCAGUGCGCCUGACUUCCAGAUCUGGAAGCUGCUGUUCGUACUUGCGGAUCUCAACAUGUACGGUGACUGCACUGCACAUACGUUUGCUUGCUCUUCUAACAGUCGUUUCCUUGCAGGCAAGGGCAAAUUUCCACAUACUGCUGCUAAAUUCUUACUUUUCUACAUAUAUAUAGUUUGAUACAGUAAACCAAAUCAGCGUUAAUAUGGCUUUUGUUGAUCCUGAUCUUUGAAAUUGACAUUUGUUGUGCACAGAUAAAUUCAAUUUUUUUAAUGUUUGAAGAUGUAGUGGAUCUUUUCAGAUCUUAUAUAUGCAUGUAUAUAUUCCUGUACUUCUGUUUUCUCUUGAACGAGGCGUAGAUGGCCAGCAACAAUCUGGCAUACAUGAAUAACCAAUAUUUUCAUUUUAUGGCACUAGCAUAACAUGGUUUUCUUUGUGUAGUUCUCCAGAGAUUCCUAAUUAAUUAUAUGCACAUCUGGACCUAGCUUGGCAACUGUAUACUCCUAAUUAAUUAAUUAAUCGAUUAAGCAUCAAAUUGUUCUUUCGUUUGCCUGCAGGGAUUUUCUAAAUUCUUAUCAUCCACGCGUUUUUUACUGCACAAAAAACAUUAUCCAAUCGAAUGUGUCAUCAAAUAUCCUCUUAUAAAGUCAUAAUUAGCUUCUUCAAAAGUGCUACUUAAGUUUUGUCAUUCUUAAUUAAUGCUUUUGAACAAAAUAUGAAAUGGACGCUCAUUACAAUUUCAUGUGGUCCUGCCAGUUCCAGGCCUAGAAGUACAUAUCUUUUGCAAAGAUUGAGAUGUUUUUUUUCCAAAACAAGAAAUAGUUGCAAUUUUAUGUGGACCUUCACAUAAUUGCUUUGUUAAACUGAAUAGGCUAGGGUAUACUCCUAUAUAUGCAAGUCACCCUUAUUUCAUCUGUAUUUUUGUUCUAUAUAGGCAUAUAUUUCGUCUAACACCUUGUCUCAAAUCAACUGCGCUCUACACAGCCAUGCAUAUAUAACUAUUACAUUUUAGUUUGGAAUCUGAAAAAAACCUAUUUUUUCACUAUCAUUAUUUGCUCUCAUGAUUAAUAUGAUCAUGUUAUUCAUUUAUACCGUAUAUAAUUAUGAUAGCUAAGUCUUUGCAUGAUUUGUAUAAUUGUUUCCAGUGCUCCUAUUUGUAUAUAUAUGGUCUAUAAGGAGAGGGGGUUACAUUAAUUUGUACUAUAAGGUGUUUUACAAAAUGGAUUUUCUCCUAAUAAUGUUUGGAUUUCUGUCCAUCUGAAUUCGAGAUAAGGCAUACCAAACAUUUACACUGUGGAUCACAGUUUGUGUGUCUCCUCCUAAGCUUAUCCACAUGGCCGGAACUGAACAGGCAUAGCCUUCCUGAGCAUGGUUCCUGGGCACGUGUUGCCAAUAUUUGGACAUCUGGAGAUAAAACUCUGAUUGCAUGAGGUCGUGAAUCAGGAGCGCCGAUCGCCAACGCCUUUCUCUGGUCCCAAGAUUAUGAAACUUGCAUGCUCUCCAGAGAAUAGUGAUGACACAACAGGGCUGCAUCAGACUGUGUGCACAUAUAGACUUGUUGCAUCUGUGCUUGAAAAAUUGAACAGUAGCCUAGCUAGCUUGUAUAUAUUUUGGUAGCAGGUUGUUAGUUAUCCAUUCGGCGAAAUCUCUAGUUGCCCCUUGAAUUCGUUAAUCUUAUGUAGCAGGCAUCUUUAAACUUUUUAGCAGGUCUGCAGAAUAUUUUGUCAAUAUUUAUUCAAUUUUGUACAUUUGAAAUUAUCAAUACAAUGUUAUAUUU